AAGUUCAUUCAAACACCAUGU
rnacentral:miRNA from 1 species